rnacentral:rRNA from 1 species
GAUGAACGCUGGCGGCGUGCCUAAUACAUGCAAGUCGAGCGAACGGACGAGAAGCUUGCUUCUCUGAUGUUAGCGGCGGACGGGUGAGUAACACGUGGAUAACCUACCUAUAAGACUGGGAUAACUUCGGGAAACCGGAGCUAAUACCGGAUAAUAUUAUGAACCGCAUGGUUCAAAAGUGAAAGACGGUCUUGCUGUCACUUCUAGAUGGAUCCGCGCUGCAUUAGCUAGUUGGUAAGGUAACGGCUUACCAAGGCAACGAUGCAUAGCCGACCUGAGAGGGUGAUCGGCCACACUGGAACUGAGACACGGUCCAGACUCCUACGGGAGGCAGCAGUAGGGAAUCUUCCGCAAUGGGCGAAAGCCUGACGGAGCAACGCCGCGUGAGUGAUGAAGGUCUUCGGAUCGUAAAACUCUGUUAUUAGGGAAGAACAUAUGUGUAAGUAACUGUGCACAUCUUGACGGUACCUAAUCAGAAAGCCACGGCUAACUACGUG